rnacentral:rRNA from 1 species
AGGGUGUAAACGCUGCAGACUUGGUGUUGGAAGCCCUUUGGGGGGCGAUUCAGUGCCGGAGAGAAGUUGUUAAGUCUGCUACUUGGGGAGUACGUCCGCAAGGAUGAAACUUAAAGGAAUUGGCGGGGGAGGCACCGCAACGGGAGGAGCGUGCGGUUUAAUUGGAUUCAACACCGUAAAACUACACCAGGGAAGACUGUUACAUGAAGGCCGAGAUGAAGACUCUGCUAGAUUUUCAGAGAGGAGGUGCAUGGCGUCAGUGACU